rnacentral:rRNA from 1 species
AUGCCUUUGGCUCCAGCCCUUGCCUCAGAAGGUUUCAUCCUUAUCUUCUGCAUUGAUGAGAAGUUGAUCUGCGUUUCUCUGUUGAGAAAUCCUAAUCCGAGUCAGCGGACACUGGUGACCUGUGCUUGUACUUCUCUGUCAUCUGUGGCGACAUUGACUCAUUUGGAUACUCAAAGCUUUAAUCAGCGGCAAGUUCUCUGUUCCUCGCUUAAGCUUCUGUCCGGUUUUGGAAGGUUUGUUCGGGAGAGAAGCAUACUCUUCUAUUCAGAUCCACAGCCCCUUUCCUCUUUUCCCUGGCAAUGCUUCUUAUGCUUUCUCUUUGCGCUGGAGAUGCCCUUCCUCUCCUUCGGGCUGGAAGUUCAUGCCCAGUGCAGGUGCUUUUUCGAUCUGCUGUUAGCUGUGGCUGUCUGA